GACGAACGCUGGCGGCGUGCCUAAUACAUGCCAGUUGAGCGAUGAAGAUUGGUGCUUGCACCAAUUUGAAGAGCAGCGAACGGGUGAGUAACGCGUGGGGAAUCUGCCUUUGAGCGGGGGACAACAUUUGGAAACGAAUGCUAAUACCGCAUAACAACUUUAAACAUAAGUUUUAAGUUUGAAAGAUGCAAUUGCAUCACUCAAAGAUGAUCCCGCGUUGUAUUAGCUAGUUGGUGAGGUAAAGGCUCACCAAGGCGAUGAUACAUAGCCGACCUGAGAGGGUGAUCGGCCACAUUGGGACUGAGACACGGCCCAAACUCCUACGGGAGGCAGCAGUAGGGAAUCUUCGGCAAUGGACGAAAGUCUGGCCGAGCAACGCCGCGUGAGUGAAGAAGGUUUUCGGAUCGUAAAACUCUGUUGGUAGAGAAGAACGUUGGUGAGAGUGGAAAGCUCAUCAAGUGACGGUAACUACCCAGAAAGGGACGGCUAACUACGUG
rnacentral:rRNA from 1 species